rnacentral:rRNA from 1 species
CCUACGGGGGGCUGCAGUUGGGAAUUUUGGGCAAUGGGGGCAACCCUGACCCAGCAACGCCGCGUGAGCGAUGAAGGCCUUCGGGUCGUAAAGCUCUGUCGGGAGGGAAGAAGGCUCUCGGAGUGAAUAAUUCCGGGGGAUUGACGGUACCUCCAAAGGAAGCGCCGGCUAACUCCGUGCCAGCAGCCGCGGUAAUACGGAGGGCGCAAGCGUUGUUCGGAAUCACUGGGCGUAAAGCGCGUGUAGGCGGCUUGGUAAGUCGGGUGUGAAAGCCCGGGGCCUAACCCCGGAACUGCACUCGAAACUGCCUCGCUCGAGUCCCGGAGAGGAUGGUGGAAUUCCCGGUGUAGUGGUGAAAUACGUAGAUAUCGGGAGGAACACCAGCGGCGAAGGCGGCCAUCUGGACGGUGACUGACGCUGAGACGCGAAAGCGUGGGGAGCAAACAGGAUUAGAUACCCGAGUAGUC